GACGUAGGGUGCUAGCGUUAUUCGGAGUGAUUGGGCGUAAAGGGUGCGCAGGCGGUAUGCUAAGUCAAUUGUUAAAUUUCCCGGCUUAACCGGGAGCUCACAAUAGAUACUGGCGUGCUAGAGGGUGGAAGAGAGAGAUGGAAUUCUCGGAGUAGCGGUAAAAUGCGUAGAUCUCGAGAGGAACACCGAUGGCGAAGGCAGUCUCUUGGUCCAUUUCUGACACUCAUGCACGAAAGCGUGGGGAGCAAACAGGAUUAGAUACCCUGGUAGUCCACGCUGUAAACGAUGAUCACUAGACGUCAGUUUUGCUUUGCGAAAUUGGUGUCGUAGCUAACGCGUUAAGUGAUCCGCCUGGGGAGUACGGUCGCAAGAUUAAA
rnacentral:rRNA from 1 species